rnacentral:ribozyme from 1 species
UCCCCAUCAACUCCUAUCCCUACCUCCACGCGGUACCGGCCGGAAACUAUGAGCAACCUUAGGGAAGAUCGGGUAACCAACCCCGGUGGGAACUUUGGUCGUAGGCUGACAGGGAAAG